GUUAUAUAAUAAUGGACCUUGGUUUCCAUUUUCCAAUAUUCGAUAUGUGUACUAUAUAUUGGUAUAAUGUUAUCAGUAGCUUAUUAUUUUUGUAACUGCAUUUAUAUAGGUCAUAUAAUAUGGACCGGAAAUGGAUGUCAAAGGCUUUUAAAAAAACAGUCAUAUAACAUAAGAAAACAAAGAGGUCUUUUACAGCGCUUGUCCUUCUGCUGUGUUUCCCGUUCCUUCUACUUUGCUUCUUUUUCCAUCAUCCUUUCUUCCCUUGUUUUAUUUCCCGCACCAACGGGCAUAUUUUGAUCAAAAAGAUUCUAUAUCUAUGGGUUUUCGCCCACCAUCAAGCUUAUCUACCAAAACAUUUUUCUUUGACUCUUUAGUAUAUUGUUUACCUUCUUUUAAUGUCUCUGUUGCCACAACAGAUAAAAGAAACAAUGAACAAAGGAAACACAAAAUAAAAGCUUUGAUUUUCAUCACUACAAUUUUUAAGAAUUUAAUUGUUGUGAAACAUAUGAAUAUACUCGACAAGAUAAAUAGGUAUGAAAAUCAAAAGUAGAUUUAUUAAAUAAUAUAUUAUUUAAUUGGCUUUCGAGAAUAUUGAGCCAUUGAAGGGUUAUUGAGGUAAGUAAAGUGUGUAAACUUUGACAAUUACGAGGUUGUUUGAUAAUUUCUUUAAUAAUAAACAUAAUUCUAGGCUUUUGGUAAACAUAAUUAUCAUACGUUGUCAAUAAAAAAUAGUUAUUGACACGAUAAAAAAAAAUUACUCUUUUAAAUUUUUCUCAAUUUCCUUUGAUGUCUAUAAUUAUUAUUUAUUUAUUUUUGAUUUAGUCAUUUAAUUUAUAUCUCAUUAGCUACUUAACUUUUAAGUUAUAAUACACUUACAUAAAUAUAAUGUUAUAUUUUAUAAGUUCUGUUAAAAAUAUAUAUUGUGGCCUUUAAGAUAUUAAUAUGUGUAUAAUAGUGUUGAUGUGGCAAAAUAAAAAAAUAAAUAUAUUUUUUAAAUUCAUUUUUCUUAAAAAUAAAAAUUUUAAAAAAUUCUUCUAACCUAAAAAAUGAAAAGUCAAUGUGGUUCUUAGAAUUUUUCUAAACAAAAUAUAAAAGAUUAAUAUGAUAAUCAUUUAUUUUUAUAAUUAUCGCACUCGUAUUAUCAUACACACUACGCAAAAAAUGUCAUUUUAUAGCACGCCUUUUACGGUGCUUACUAAAUACACCGCUGUUGUAAAUAUAUUUUAAAAAUAAUGGAGCAUAUAACAUCGCUUUUUUGACAAGCGUUGUGGAUAAAGCGCUGUUGUAGGGUCAUAUAGCGUUUGCACAUAAUGUUUACAAGGCUUUUAUAGCGCUUUUACACACGCGCUGUAAAAUGAAGCGCCCUCACAUAAUGUUUGUUAGCGCUUUUUUGACAAGCGCUGUAAAAGACAUGCGCUUUCAAAUAAUUAAAUGACCUAUUACAACGCUUUUGUAACAAACGCUGUAAAAGACAUGCGCUUUCAAAUAAUUAAAUGACCUAUUAGAGUGCUUUUGUUACAAGCGCUGUAAAAGCAUCGCGCUUUCACAUUAUUAAAGGACUUAUUACAACGCUUAUUCUACAAGCGCUGUAAAAUCAUUAACUUUAAAUAAAAAUCAUUUACUUUAAAUAAAUAAAAAUAAAUUUAAAACAAAUUUAUGAACCCUCAUCACCUCUACUCUGGGAACCCUCAUCUCCUCUACGUACUGUGCGCCCAUCUACUGCUCAUCCUUUACAAAAAAUUGGAUACAUUGUCUCAGGUACGAUAUUUAUUAAUUUGUUGUUGACACGAAAACUAAUAAAUUGUUACAUAAUAAAUAUUUUCUUUUUAAAAUUUGUUGAUCUGUUCUGUUUUGAAAUUGUUACAUAAUAAUGGACCUUGGUUUCCAUUUUCCAAUAUUCGAUAUGUGUACUAUAUAUUGGUAUAAUGUUAUCAGUAGCUUAUUAUUUUUGUAACUGCAUUUAUAUAGGUCGUAUAAUAUGGACCGGAAAUGGAUGUCAAAGGCUUUUAAAAAAACAAUCAUAUAACAUAAGAAAACAAAGAGGUCUUUUACAGCGCUUGUCCUUCUGCUUUGUUUCCCUUUCCUUCUGCUUUGCUUCUUUUUCCAUCAUCCUUUCUUCCCUUGUUUUAUUUCCCGCACCAACGGGCAUAUUUUGAUCAAAAAGAUUCUAUAUCUAUGGGUUUUCGCCCACCAUCAAGCUUAUCUACCAAAACAUUUUUCUUUGACUCUUUAGUAUAUUGUUUACCUUCUUUUAAUGUCUCUGUUGCCACAACAGAUAAAAGAAACAAUGAACAAAGGAAACACAAAAUAAAAGCUUUGAUUUUCAUCACUACAAUUUUUAAGAAUUUAAUUGUUGUGAAACAUAUGAAUAUACUCGACAAGAUAAAUAGGUAUGAAAAUCAAAAGUAGAUUUAUUAAAUAAUAUAUUAUUUAAUUGGCUUUCGGGAAUAUUGAGCCAUUGAAGGGUUAUUGAGGUAAGUAAAGUGUGUAAACUUUGACAACUACGAGGUUGCUUGAUAAUUUCUUUAAUAAUAAACAUAAUUCUAGGCUUUUGGUAAACAUAAUUAUCAUACGUUGUCAAUAAAAAAUAGUUAUUGACACGAUAAAAAAAAAUUACUCUUUUAAAUUUUUCUCAAUUU
rnacentral:lncRNA from 1 species